AACGAACGCUGGCGGCAUGCCUAACACAUGCAAGUCGAACGAGACCUUCGGGUCUAGUGGCGCACGGGUGCGUAACGCGUGGGAACCUGCCCUUAGGUUCGGAAUAACUCCCCGAAAGGGGUGCUAAUACCGGAUAAUGUCUUCGGACCAAAGAUUUAUCGCCGUUGGAUGGGCCCGCGUUGGAUUAACUAGUUGGUAGGGUAAAAGCCUACCAAGGCGACGCUCGAUAGCUGGGCUGAGAGGAUGAUCAGCCACACUGGGACUGAGACACGGCCGAGACUCCUACGGGAGGCAGCAGUGGGGAAUAUUGGCAAAUGGGCGAAAGCAUGAUCCAGCAAUGCCGCGUGAGUGAUGAAGGCCUUAGGGUUGUAAAGCUCUUUUACCCGGGAUGAUAAUGACAGUACCGGGAGAAUAAGCUCCGGCUAACUCCGUG
rnacentral:rRNA from 1 species